AUUGAACGCGGGCGGCAUGCCUUACACAUGCAAGUCGAACGGCAGCACGGGUGCUUGCACCUGGUGGCGAGUGGCGAACGGGUGAGUAAUACAUCGGAACGUACCUUAUCGUGGGGGAUAACGCAGCGAAAGUUGCGCUAAUACCGCAUAAGCCCUGAGGGGGAAAGCGGGGGACCGUAAGGCCUCGCGCGAUUAGAGCGGCCGAUGUCCGAUUAGCUUGUUGGUGAGGUAAAAGCUCACCAAGGCGAUGAUCAGUAGCUGGUCUGAGAGGACGAUCAGCCACACUGGGACUGAGACACGGCCCAGACUCCUACGGGAGGCAGCAGUGGGGAAUUUUGGACAAUGGGGGCAACCCUGAUCCAGCAAUGCCGCGUGAGUGAAGAAGGCCUUCGGGUUGUAAAGCUCUUUUGUCAGGGAAGAAACAGCAGCUCUAACACAGUCUGCGAAUGACGGUACCUGAAGAAUAAGCACCGGCUAACUACGUGCCAGCCGCCGCAGUAA
rnacentral:rRNA from 1 species